CACUGCCAUAUGAACAAGUUUUGAAGAGAGAAACAUCAAGUAAGUGCCGACAUCACAACCCCUACAAGCUUGUGCCUUAAAACAAGAGGAUACAAGAAGUUGGAGUGCUUUUGUGAAGGCUUUUGUGACUCACUUGAAGCGUUGGUACUUUUGUGAAUGAUUUUGUGAAGUGUUUGUAAAUAUGUGCAAAAUAUAAUAACAUGUGUAGGUUUUGUGAAUGAUUUUGUUGUGGUGCUUGUUGAUGGUUUAUGUGAUGUGGAUCUAUCAUUGUGCAA